rnacentral:rRNA from 1 species
UGGGGAAUAUUGCACAAUGGGCGCAAGCCUGAUGCAGCCAUGCCGCGUGUAUGAAGAAGGCCUUCGGGUUGUAAAGUACUUUCAGUCGGGAGGAAGGUGGUAAGGUUAAUAACCUUAUCAAUUGACGUUACCGACAGAAGAAGCACCGGCUAACUCCGUGCCAGCAGCCGCGGUAAUACGGAGGGUGCAAGCGUUAAUCGGAAUUACUGGGCGUAAAGCGCACGCAGGCGGUUGAUUGAGUCAGAUGUGAAAUCCCCGGGCUUAACCCGGGAAUUGCAUCUGAUACUGGUAAGCUAGAGUCUUGUAGAGGGGGGUAGAAUUCCAUGUGUAGCGGUGAAAUGCGUAGAGAUGUGGAGGAAUACCGGUGGCGAAGGCGGCCCGCUGGACAAAGACUGACGCUCAGGUGCGAAAGCGUGGGGAGCAAACAGG